rnacentral:lncRNA from 1 species
ACCAGCUCUGCUUAGGCUCAGAGGUAGCUCUACUGAAUUAAUUCUGGCAGUGUUUGGAUCAUAAAUCUUUUAUUGCAGUUUUGUUAUGAUUAGCUUACGUCUUGAAAUGGUCUGAUAUGUGCUCAAUUAUAUAAAAUGUGCAUUUAAAAGAAAACUGGAUGAGAGCUUUGUUGGACCUGGCUCUUAUUGUUGGGGUCAGUUUCAAGGACAAAAUUUAUUGCUGCUUUUUUUUUUUAAACGGAAAAAAAUCAUAGAAAAAAGCUACAAAAAUGCUUCAAGAAACUGGCAUUUUACUUUAAAAAUAAAAUAUGAGUAGAAAGAAGUGAUUUUAUUUUAUUUAUUAUUGUUGGAAGCUGCAUGUUUAAACUGAGGAGAAUUUCUUGCACAGCCCAGACUGCCCCAGGCAAGGCUUGGGGAGCUCUGUGGAAAGGACUUUUCAUUUUAAACAGUAGAGACCCUGCAGCUGAUGCAAAAUGCUCCCGUCCAAGUUUAACACCCUUUCCUGGGGACCAGACACAGAGCACCCCAGCUACAAAGUGUCUCUGUGGAUAUCACAGAGACACCCGGAGGGGGAAAGUCUGACUGUCCUUCUGCAGCUAGCAGUUUCUGCAGUCUACAGCAUCUGGCUUUCCACUCAGCUAUUUCAGCUUUUUGAGGAUUUCAGAAAAAGAUGGAGUCUUAUCAAAACAUACUCAGACAUUUUUAGACCAUCUAUUUUAGCUACUUCUUUCCCUGGCAAUAACCUCAGAAAAACUCCUGUUGGAAGCACCACUGAUGCUAACAGUACGUCCACUAAAAUAUCUUUGGUGAAAUGGUGUACAUUAGGGAUGAGUCAAAAUGUUCAACCGCACAAGGUGAUGAGUGCUUCUGUUAAGCCACCUGGGAUCCAAGAAUACCUGGUCAAGUAUUUUGUGAGCUUCUGCCUGCUUAAACUGGCCGACAUGGGGAAGAAAACCACCAGAGAUUCAAAGAUGGGACUAAUAACAGGGAAAAUUUAUGAGAAGUCCUCAAGACUCGUUCCUCUGGGGACCCGGCUGCAAAUGGUAGAGAAUGACUGA